rnacentral:rRNA from 1 species
CCUACGGGAGGCAGCAGUGGGGAAUAUUGCACAAUGGGCGACAGCCUGAUGCAGCAACGCCGCGUGAGCGAUGAAGGCCUUCGGGUCGUAAAGCUCUGUCCUCAAGGAAGAUAAUGACGGUACUUGAGGAGGAAGCCCCGGCUAACUACGUGCCAGCAGCAGCGGUAAUACGUAGGGGGCUAGCGUUAUCCGGAAUUACUGGGCGUAAAGGGUGCGUAGGUGGUUUCUUAAGUCAGAGGUGAAAGGCUAGGGCUCAACCGUAGUAAGCCUUUGAAAAUGGGAAACUUGAGUGCAGGAGAGGAGAGUGGACUUCCUAGUGUAGCGGUGAAAUGCGUAGAUAUUAGGAGGAACACCAGUUGCGAAGGCGGCUCUCUGGACUGUAACUGACACUGAGGCACGAAAGCGUGGGGAGCAAACAGGAUUAGAUACCCUUGUAGUC